AGAGUUUGAUCAUGGCUCAGAUUGAACGCUGGCGGCAUGCCUUACACAUGCAAGUCGAGCGGUAACAGGUGUAGCAAUACAUGCUGACGAGCGGCGAACGGGUGAGUAAUGCUUUGGAAUCUUCCCAGUAGUGGGGAAUAACCAGUCGAAAGAUUGGCUAAUACCGCAUACGUCUGUGAAGGGAAAGCGGGGGAUCGCAA
rnacentral:rRNA from 1 species